rnacentral:lncRNA from 1 species
GGUUGAAUCGGUAAGUAUUAAUUUUUCUAUUUGUAAUUUAUAUUAAAUUUUAAAUUGAUAUUCAUUAUUCUAAUAUUUUUCCAACCUUUUUCCAGUACAAUUUUAUUAGAACGAUUCAAGAUCAGUGCGCUCCUACAAACGUGUUUCCAAAUCUCAUGCAGAUACUAAAUGACGUCUACCUAAACUGCAAUGAGAUAAUAGAAGUGUUUGUUCAACUACUUCCAACGGCCUUCUCCUCUACUACUUACCAAACUCCUCCUACAUGACAGUUUGAUAUGUCUGCUACACCUGAGUUCCCGCAGCAUUAAGAGAGUCAAGCUCAGACAGAUACUUAUCAGCAGACAUGUACUGAAACUCCUGCUCCUCUACAACAACAACUUUUCGGGUUUGAUGUUUUGGAGCAAUAGGUGACUACUCCUUCUCCCACUUCUCAUCUUUUUCACAAUUUCAAGAAAUGUCAUCAAUGUUUGGCACAACUUUAAAUACUCCAUUGUCGACAUUCAACUCUCAACAAUAUUAUCAAUCGACAAUGUCUUCACAACCUGAAGAUGAUGACGAAGAUGAUGACGACAAAGAUGAGGAGGAGCCACAACUAAUUAGAUGUGGAAGUGGACAAGCAAGACAAUGUCAACCACCAC